rnacentral:rRNA from 1 species
GUGGGGAAUAUUGGACAAUGGGCGCAAGCCUGAUCCAGUCAUGCCGCGUGAGUGAUGAAGGCCUUAGGGUUGUAAAGCUCUUUCAGUGGGGACGAUAAUGACGGUACCCACAGAAGAAGCCCCGGCUAACUUCGUGCCAGCAGCCGCGGUAAUACGAAGGGGGCUAGCGUUGUUCGGAUUUACUGGGCGUAAAGCGCACGUAGGCGGAUCGUUAAGUCGGGGGUGAAAUCCUGGAGCUCAACUCCAGAACUGCCUUCGAUACUGGCGAUCUUGAGUCCGGAAGAGGUGAGUGGAACUCCUAGUGUAGAGGUGGAAUUCGUAGAUAUUAGGAAGAACACCAGUGGCGAAGGCGGCUCACUGGUCCGGUACUGACGCUGAGGUGCGAAAGCGUGGGGAGCAAACAGGAUUAGAAACCCGUGUAGUCC